CCUAUACUAGUAUUUUUUUUGGCGGAAAAACGUGUCACACUGUUAAAGCGGUAUCACCACGAACUGAAGUAAAGCCCUUCACCAAACAAAGCGGCAUCUCCCAAACUGAAAAAAAAGGAAGAAGAAAAAAAAAAGGAAACCGAUCAAGUUAUUUAUGGAGAGGGAAUGGACUUAGGGUCCCUUUUAACAUGCACAGUUUUUACAAACAACGCUCUGGUCUUUGGGAAGAAAACAAAGUUUGUGAGAUGGAAGCAAAGGACACUAACAGCAAGAAUCUUUCAUAUUCUCCCUCGGAAGCAAUCAAGAUUUUGUUACCAAUCAAAGCAGCUCUGGUGGUGUUACCGUUUCAACAAGCUAGGGCCCACUUUGAGCUUUUCAUGGUUGAUAUGACAGGUGUUGCAUUAUCAAGCUCCCCUUAUCAGAGAACAUAUAAUAGCAAGAAGAAUCUGUUGCCAAUUUUGUUACCGGAACCAAGUUGAAACUAAACAAUGGCAGGAUUCUUUGGUAUGCUAUAGCCAUGGUAGUUUUUGAUCAUGCAAAUGGUGAGGUUUGUAAAGAUUUACUUAAAACAAAAGAUGGAACAGAUCAUUGGCUCAUAUAUAGCUCUUGUUUUGAAAGGUGAAUCUGCUAUUUUUUGUGUUGAAAUUCAAUUGUGCUAGAUUGUGAUACUUUAUUAGUAUUUAAAGAUAGGGGCCAAGUGAGUGGGUGUCAGGCUGAAGUCCCACAUCUUCUACUUCAUAAAAGAAACUAUACUGCUUACAUAUAAAUUGAAAGGACCUCUAUCUCAGUCAUUUACGGAGCCGUGUGAUGAUGACAUAGCGAACUAUUCUUUCGCCUUUUACUAAAGAAUACCGUGUCAGCGUCACAUUUAGCGGCAUACGCUAGUUUUUGGAAGAGUCCUCAAUUUGAGGGCUCUGCAAAUUUAGUUAAAGUUUUUUGUAUGUUUACUUAACAUUGAAGGCCCUGCAAGUUAAAGUUUGGUCUUUAUUUAUUUUCUUAGUUUGAAGUUUGGUCUUUAUUUAUUUUCUUAGUUUGACUAUUUAUAACAUAUUGGAAUUAGAUUACGGAUUAACUAUUGAUAUAGAAAUAUGUGAUUGGUUCAUCUUCAAAAAUGUAUCCUUUCAAAUCCUAAGUGUUUGAUCUCCAUGACCCAAGAAAGACUCUUCACCACCCACAAAAGGUUGAUCAGGGAUUAGUUAGUGGAUUGAGAAAAGAAACAACGAAACUGCUUUGAUAUCUUGUGUAGAGGGCUGAUUUAAGCUUUGCUAUUAAAGUAUUAAUCCUUAAUAUUCCUCUACAAUGAGAUUUGUAAUUUGUUUCUGAGUUAUUUACUUCAACACAAUUACUUCCAGUACUAAUAGAUUUAUUUUUACAAACCACAAUAUUAUGUAAUUUAAUAAUGGAGUGUACAUCACAAGGAGUUCAAGAAAGUAUCAAAUUACUGUAGUAUCCUCUCAAAUUUAAGACAGAUAUUUUGUUAAGCAAGGACAUAUGCUCCUAUUUUGUGGUCUUUUUACCCUCCUCUAAAUCCUGUAUUGAAUGACAAAUUGCAAACAUAACCAAACUCACACCAUCUAAUAUCCCAUAUGAACCCACUUGUCAUUUUGUGGCUGGAUUAGAAGGAAGUAAAUUUCAUGAACUUUGGUACUGGGUUCGUGACUGGGCCAUUUACUACUAUAAUGUUAUUUUCUUGUCUUAGUUUUUGAACAAGUUAGAUCUCUUUCUCUCAACUUUAUUCUUUGUGGUUUAAUAUUUGCUUGUCUUAGUUGUUUAAGGAAAAGAAGGAUGAGUAGAUGGACUUUGCAGCAAAAUUUCUAAGUCCCACACUGCUAAUGAGAGAAAUUAGAUGAAUUUGAAGUUAUAUAUAAAAGGAAGUUUAUUUCAUAUUUUAACUAUCUUUGCGCUUGGGGCAAUGACGCAGCUAGUGAGGUUCUAACCGAGGCGCGUCUAUUGCUGGUUGAAAACUAUUUCCAAACCCCCUAAUAGGCUUGGGUUCAACUCAAGCCUUUGAGAAUUUCUGGAAGGGGACUCCCUUAGGGGUAAAGUCCUGCAAAUUUAGUUCAAUUUAUAUUUAAUCUAGGAAGAUCUCUUGUAUCAUUAAUUCUCUAGUAUUCACAGUUUGCCCAAAUUCUAAUGUUUUAUUAUUACCUAUCAUUGAUUCUCUAAUUUUCACAAUUUGCCCAAAUUCUAAUGUUUAAUUAUUACAUAAGAUAUAACUUGGUACUGGUGUUUUAUAUUGUUACUUAACAUUACAAUAGUAAAAUAGCCCAGGUGCCAAACCUUGAAACAAAAGUUAAGAUUGUCAGUUUUUGAAUCAAAAUAAAGAUCCACAUGAUAUGUAAGGUUUGAUCUUAGUUAAAUAACUGUUCUAAAACAUAGGAAGGUUUGAUCUUAGUUAAAUAACUGUUCUAAAACAUAGGAAGGUUUGAUCUUAGUUAAAUAACUGUUCUAAAAACAGGAAGAGGA